UACGGGGGGGGCAAGCGUUGUUCGGAAUUACUGGGCGUAAAGGGCGCGUAGGCGGCUUGGUAAGUCGGGGGUGAAAGUCAGCGGCUCAACCGCUGGACUGCCUUCGAGACUGCCUGGCUUGAGCAUGGUAGAGGCUGGCGGAAUUCCCGGUGUAGCGGUGGAAUGCGUAGAGAUCGGGAAGAACAUCGGUGGCGAAGGCGGCCAGCUGGGCCAUUGCUGACGCUGAUGCGCGACAGCGUGGGGA
rnacentral:rRNA from 1 species